rnacentral:rRNA from 1 species
GGUGAACGCUGGCGGCGUGCUUAAGACAUGCGAGUCGAACGGACAGAGCUUGCUCUGUCAGUGGCGCACGGGUGAGUAACGCGUAACUGACCUACCCCCAAGUCGCGGAUAACGCGCCGAAAGGCACGCUAAUACGUGAUGUGCACGCAGGUUUCUGGCCUGCUGUGUAAAGACUGGAUCGCUUGGGGAUGGGGUUGCGUUCCAUCAGCUAGAUGGUGGGGUAACGGCCCACCAUGGCGGCGACGGAUCGCCGGCCUGAGAGGGUGGCCGGCCACAGGGGCACUGAGACACGGGUCCCACUCCUACGGGAGGCAGCAGUUAGGAAUCUUCCACAAUGGGCGCAAGCCUGAUGGAGCGACGCCGCGUGAGGGAUGAAGGUUUUCGGAUCGUAAACCUCUGAAUCUGGGACGAAAGACGCGACGAGCGGGAUGACGGUACCAGAGUAAUAGCACCGGCUAACUCCGUGCCAGCCGCCGCCGUAAAAC